rnacentral:rRNA from 1 species
AGGWUAGAUACCCUAUUAUAUUUAAUUGAAAAGAUAAGCCUAGAUUAUUAGUAGUUAUUUUCUUUAAAAUUAUAGAAUUUGGCGGUACUUUAGUCUUUUUAGAGGAACCUGUUUUAUAAUCGAUACUCCACGUAAAAUUUUACUUAUUUUAUUAAUUUGUAUACCGUCAUUAUUAUAUAACUUUUAGAGAAACAGAUAUUAAAAUUUAAUUUUUAAAGAAUAUUAGAUCAAGGUGCAGUUUAUAAAUAAGCAAAAAUGGGUUACAAUAAUAUAUAUUAUAUGGAUUGUAGUGUUAAAUUAUUAGAUGAAGGUGGAUUUAAUUGUAUGUUUUUUUUAAUAAGAAGUACUGAUAUUAGCUCUAGAGUGUGUACAUAUCCUCCGUCGCAU